GGACGUCUUCGGCGUUCG
rnacentral:snRNA from 1 species